AAACAGAGUGAAAUGUAAAGAUGAAUACGAUUUUAGUAAAUACAUAUUGGUGGCAAUUCUUACAACUCCCGUAGUCGUGAGAAGCAACCUUAUGUAAUUAAAAAUAUAUACCGUAUAAAGAGGUUUGCC
rfam:Tannerella sp. CAG:51 genomic scaffold, scf226